AUUCAGAGAUUUCAAUUUAUUGCUUUGUACUUUUCAGUAAAACUUAUGGGAAUGUGUUGGUCCUAGAUGGAGUGAUACAAUGUACAGAGAGAGAUGAAUUCUCGUAUCAGGAAAUGCUGGCUCAUUUACCACUGAACUGUCAUCCUAAUCCCAGAAAGGUGCUGAUCAUUGGAGGGGGAGAUGGUGGGGUUCUUAGAGAGGUCGUCAAACACCCUGAAGUUCAGUCAGUGGAAAUGUGCGAAAUUGAUGAGAUAGCUAAUGAGAAAGUGAAGAGGCUUGUGGGCCGCGACUUUCACCUGCCUCUAAUCAAUGAGUUUCUAAGGCUGUGAGAGAUUAAGUACCACUUCAUGAAUGGACAUGAAUUUUAUUAUUAAGUAAGGGUUCUAUGUUUAUUACACAUAUAGUACUCUUUGGUUAGGACUUAACAUGGGUAUAAAUUUGGUUCAAGAAUACAUGUAUCGGUAAAGAAUUCACAGAAAAUUG